UAAUGACCCAGGUUCUGAGAUCUCACUUCUGUCAGCACUAAUACUGCAUUGGUGGGCAGCUCCUGCCUCUUUUGAGGAUCUCCUGAGGCUACUCACAGCCCAGAGCAGGCCCUGUCCUCUGUCACAGCUGGGGCAGGGGGCAUGCGGGGCCGGACCCUGAACCCUAAGACCAUUUACCCUGUGCUGCCAAGACUCCUCGCCCUCCUGCCCUUGUCCUGUCAGAAGCAGCUUUGCUGCAGAAGCCACAGCCAGGACGUCUCCGUGGACACCAGCCUGUUUCCGGAGAAGCUGAGGAAUGGGGAGCUGCAGGACAGUGGAGACAAGUGGGCGAUGGCUGCAGAUGGGCCAAGCCAGGAGGGGCUCAGUCCCACCUUCGUCCUCCAAGAGACCUCACUGUGACGGGGGGUACGGCCUCUGUCCUCACUGCCAGGAGCUCCCAGCACCCAAAGUCCCCUGUCCCUCCAAGGCCAGAGCCCCUCACUGUGCCUGCCCUGGGCAGAGGGUAGGGCUGUCAUGGCACAGGGACAAGGGGCGGGUGGGAGCUUUCUUGACUAUCCCGAACCUUUCUGGAGCGCAGGUGUUGAAAGUGUUAGGUCUCACAACUCCUUCACACUAUAAAAGCA